rnacentral:rRNA from 1 species
UCGACGAGAGAGAAGAGCUUGCUUCUUCGAUCGAGUGGCGAACGGGUGAGUAACGCGUGAGGAACCUGCCUCAAAGAGGGGGACAACAGUUGGAAACGACUGCUAAUACCGCAUAAGCCCACGGGUCGGCAUCGACCUGAGGGAAAAGGAGCAAUCCGCUUUGAGAUGGCCUUGCGUCCGAUUAGCUAGUUGGUGAGGUAACGGCCCACCAAGGCGACGAUCGGUAGCCGGACUGAGAGGUUGAACGGCCACAUUGGGACUGAGACACGGCCCAGACUCCUACGGGAGGCAGCAGUGGGGAAUAUUGCACAAUGGGGGAAACCCUGAUGCAGCGACGCCGCGUGGAGGAAGAAGGUCUUCGGAUUGUAAACUCCUGUUGUUGAGGAAGAUAAUGACGGUACUCAACAAGGAAGUGACGGCUAACUACGUGCCAGCAGCCGCGGUAAAACGUAGGUCACAAGCGUUGUCCGGAAUUACUGGGUGUAAAGGGAGCGCAGGCGGGAAGACAAGUUGGAAGUGAAAUCUAUGGGCUUAACCCAUAAACUGCUUUCAAAACUGUUUUUCUUGAGUAGUGCAGAGGUAGGCGGAAUUCCCGGUGUAGCGGUGGAAUGCGUAGAUAUCGGGAGGAACACCAGUGGCGAAGGCGGCCUACUGGGCACCAACUGACGCUGAGGCUCGAAAGUGUGGGUAGCAAACAGGAUUAGAUACCCUGGUAGUCCACACUGUAAACGAUGAUUACUAGGUGUUGGAGGAUUGACCCCUUCAGUGCCGCAGUUAACACAAUAAGUAAUC